GUGUUCCCCGCUCUCACCCUCCCCGAGCCGGGUGCUGGGCGGUCAUUGCUUUGCAUCUCCCUUGCCCACCCCCCACCAUGGCCUUUAGCGUCUCCCCCCUCCUGCUCCCACCCCGGGCUCUGAAGUCAGGAAACCCAAGAGGAAAUGACUGAGCCCGUCUGGGUUCCCGCCCGCCAGCGCUCUCCUGGCCACACCCUCUGCCUGGACGCAACUGCCGCCUCUACCCUCUCUCCAAAAAGCUGCGGGCUCUGGACCCCCAGCUCGGAGGCCGACUCCUCCGCUGGGCCGGGUGACAGCCCCAGAGGAGAGGAAGAGGCCCAGGAUCUACUCCUGUACCCCAGCCCCUACUGGGUGCCCAGCAGGGUCCGUCCAAGAGGGAUGUCACUCUCUGGUCACCUGUGUUUCCUCACCAUCGUCGGCCUGAUUCUUCCCACUAGAGGUAAGGCCCAGCCUUUGUCUCCACUCUGCCCCAGAGCCCCCAGCCCUACCUCAAGUGCACUGCUGGGUGGGCAGCUGGUGAGUUUGGCGGCCCUGUCCUGUGUCCGCAACCCCCUGCUGAGCCGGCACCAGGAAGUGGGGCUCCCAAAGAGGGGGACAGGGAUACACCCUUUUUGGACACCUCAGAACUGGGUGGCCGCUUCCAGCGAGUCUGGCCAGAGCCUGUCCUGCUGAGCAGGCUCCAUUUCACUUCCAAGAAGAACUCACUGAGUUUGAUUUGGCGGGCAGAUUGGUGUCAGUUUUCUACUCAGCAGCCAGGAAACCUGGGCUCCCAGCAGAGGAGCUUCCUGGAUUCCCAGGUGAUGCAGUUAGGCAAAGGGGUGAGCUGGGGCCAGUGGAAGAGCUGGAGGUGUCUCCCCUGGCCUGGGAAGUGCUUCCUGAAGGCAGCAGCUGUGGUGGCAUUGGCAGGUGCUUUUCCACACGGCAGGUGCUGUGUGUGCGGGAGCUCACUUCAGCUUCAGCUCUAGUGUAUUACACAUACUGCCCUGCCUGUUUUACAAUGAGGGAACUGAAGCUCAGGGAAUUGAGGUUCAGCAAAGGAAAGCCUGUGCCAGAGGCUAGUGAGGGGAGGAGCUGGGAUCCAAUCAUCCUGCCUGCCCCUGGAACCCAGAGCAGACUCGCCGCUGAAGAGCUCUCUUGGAUAAAACGGUUUUCAUCUAUUCCUUCAGUCAUUCAACAGGUAUUCGUUGAGCAGCUCCUGUGUGCCAGAUCUUAUUCUAUGCACUAUGGAAACAGCAAUACGUAAAACAGGAACUCACGUUCCAUUUGGGAAAUACAGACGAUAAAUCACCCAUCAGUAAAUUAUACAGUAUGCCAGAAGGUGAUACAUGUUAUGCAGAAAAGUAGAGGAGAGCAAUGAGGAUUGUUUGAAGAGGAUGGUCAGGGAAGACUUCACUAGGAGGUGACAUUUGGGCAGACACGUGAAGAAGAUGGAGGAACGAACCAAGCAGGUAGCCGAGGGAUGAGUGCUGUCCGGUGGGUGUGAGGAACCAGGCAGUCCAGGUGGCUGGGUGGGGUGAACAAGGAGCAGGGUAGGAAGAGGAGAGGUCAGAGAGGUGACAGGGGAAGAG
rnacentral:lncRNA from 1 species